AAGUCUGGGACAUUUUUAAAUGCCUAUUCCAAAUUUGCACUUUGGGAUUCCAAACU
rnacentral:tRNA from 1 species